CGGGGCGUAGCGCAGCCUGGUAGCGCACUUGCAUGGGGUGUAAGGGGUCGCAGGUUCAAAUCCUGCCGUCCCGA
rnacentral:tRNA from 1 species